CGCUUUGAUAAUGCUGGGAUGUGAUGGGGAGCGAAAUUUAGUAGCGAAGUAGCUGAUUUCACACUGUCAAGAAAAGUCUCUAUCGAGGUUAAAGGUACCCGUACCGCAAACCGACACAGGUGGGUGAGGAGAGUAUCCUAAGGCCAGCGAGAGAACUGUUGUUAAGGAACUCGGCAAAAUGACCCCGUAACUUAGGGAUAAGGGGUGCCACCAUCAGGUGGCCGCAGAGAAUAGGCCCAAGCGACUGUUUACCAAAAACAUAGGUUUCUGCUAAGUCGCAAGACGAUGUAUAGGAGCUGACGCCUGCCCGGUGCUGGAAGGUUAAGGGGAUCUGUUAGAGCAAUCGAAGCAGUGAACUUAAGCCCCAGUAAACGGCGGCCGUAACUAUAACGGUCCUAAGGUAGCGAAAUUCCUUGUCGGGUAAGUUCCGACCCGCACGAAAGGCGUAACGAUUUGGGCACUGUCUCAACAACAGACUCGGUGAAAUUGUAAUUCCGGUGAAGAUGCCGGAUACCUGCGACAGGACGGAAAGACCCCAUGGAGCUUUACUGUAGCUUGACAUUGGGUCUUGGUACUACAUGUACAGGAUAGGUGGGAGGCUUUGAAACCAGGACGCCAGUUUUGGCGGAGCCAUCCUUGGGAUACCACCCUUGUAGUACUGGGACUCUAACCAUAGGCCAUGAAUCUGGUCUUGGGACACUGUCAGGUGGGCAGUUUGACUGGGGCGGUCGCCUCCCAAAAGGUAACGGAGGCGCUCAAAGGUUCUCUCAGUACGGUCGGAAAUCGUACGUAGAGUGUAAAGGCAAAAGAGAGCUUGAUUGCAAGACAUACAGGUCGAGCAAGGAUGAAAAUCGGACUUAGUGAUCCGGUGGUUCUGCGUGGAAGGGCCAUCGCUCAACGGAUAAAAGCUACCCUGGGGAUAACAGGCUUAUCUCCCCCAAGAGUCCACAUCGACGGGGAGGUUUGGCACCUCGAUGUCGGCUCAUCACAUCCUGGGG
rnacentral:rRNA from 1 species